CCAAUUAGUAGUAUAGCAAGACAAGAACGAGGUCGUACCCACGAGGACUGAGAAGUUAAAAUUAGUUAUGUACUUAGAUUACCAAAUUCAAGAAAGUAGGAGGUUAAGUCUAAAAUAGAAUUUAAAGCAAGAAUGAUUGUAAUUGUUGAACAAAUGAGGCAAAACGAAAUUUCAAACAAAAGCAAAGUGAACAAAUGUAACAAAGAGUACUUUUGUAGGCUGGAAAACAGAUUGGGAGACUAGGGCAUUCGAUUCACCAUAACAAUUCAAUUCUGGGUUAUAAGGAGUCAAGUGACAAGUCUCAUUCGGAUUCAAAGAUUGAUUCUAGCUAAAGUAUGAUUAGGCCAUGGUGUCUGGUCCUAACCUUGUGCUCCUAAUUCCCUAACUUGAUCAUUUGUUGUCUAAUCUAAAUUAAGCAUUAGGAACCCAUUAAGCAUAGAAGAACAAUUUAAACAACCAAGCAUGUAUCUAAUCCCUGUUGUCGAAUGUCCAUACAUACUUUUCUUAUUCAUAGUUCAAUUCAAAUCAAAGCAUGGUGUCUACUCUUGAUUCAAACCAAGGUAGCUAAUAUACAAGUUCCUAAUGGUGAUCAAUCAUCCAAACAAGCAUAUUAACUGAUAAGCAUAAAGAAUAGGAAUAUGAAUCAUGAAUCAAACUUGAAACUCAAAACUUCAACUUAUAAACCCAGAAUAUUCAUGUUAGGUUACAUCAUAGCCCUAGUUAUGAAUUUAGCUACUCAUAAUGGAAAUGAAACUUAAGCAAAAAUGAGAAAACAUAUUGAAUGCAAUAAGAGUAGAGAAACCCAAUUCUGAAGUUGCUUGUGGUUUCCAAGGCUUCUCCAGGUGCUUCUCCGCGUCUAAUGCUACUCCAAGAACUUUCUCAUGUCUAGAGUAUGGCAACUAAAGAGGUGAUUUGUGAUGAGUUUAGGUGGUUGGUGAUGGCAGAGAAAGAAGAAAUUCGUAGGAAAAUGGAAGGAAGGCUUGUUGGAGUUGUCCCCCAUGAUUUUGGGCUGAAUGAAGUGAUAUAGGAUGGCUGGAGUGAAUUAUUGGUCAAUGGAGUGACUCCUUUGCACUUGAGUAGCUGACACACCUCCCUAAAUUGCUCAACAUGUCUGGUCUAAAGUCAAGGAAAGCUGUGGUGAGUCACAUGGCUCAAAGAAAAUAUCCAAGGCUCAACAACUGGAAACUGCAAUCCUGAGCCUGGUGUGUAUAUGGGCUCACGAAUUGGGCUCGACUUCAUAAUCUGAUGCAUUUGAGUAGUCCAUCUUGAAGUUCAGACUCUCAUCUUUCCAACUACAUAUUAUUUGGGCCAAUCCAAGUUCGGAGAAAGAUGUUAAGGCCGAAAUGAGUUGCUAACCCAGUCUGCUCGUUUUUGCACCAUUUUGCAUCUUUUCUUAUCCAAAGACACCAUUGCUACCUAAGGCCCAAUGAACUGAAUGAUAAACAGAAAAGGGAUUAAAAGCACACGUUUGACUCAAUAACAUAACCAAAUCAUAAGCUAGAAAGGUACAAAAUGAUAUACAAUUGUGAACUGAUCAA
rnacentral:lncRNA from 1 species